rnacentral:rRNA from 1 species
GACGAACGCUGGCGGCGUGCUUAACACAUGCAAGUCGAACGGAAAGGCCCUGCUUUUGUGGGGUGCUCGAGUGGCGAACGGGUGAGUAACACGUGAGUAACCUGCCCUUGACUUUGGGAUAACUUCAGGAAACUGGGGCUAAUACCGGAUAGGAGCUCCUGCUGCAUGGUGGGGGUUGGAAAGUUUCGGCGGUUGGGGAUGGACUCGCGGCUUAUCAGCUUGUUGGUGGGGUAGUGGCUUACCAAGGCUUUGACGGGUAGCCGGCCUGAGAGGGUGACCGGCCACAUUGGGACUGAGAUACGGCCCACACUCCUACGGGAGGCAGCAGUGGGGAAUAUUGCACAAUGGGCGGAAGCCUGAUGCAGCAACGCCGCGUGCGGGAUGACGGCCUUCGGGUUGUAAACCGCUUUCGCCUGUGACGAAGCGUGAGUGACGGUAAUGGGUAAAGAAGCACCGGCUAACUACGUGCCACCAGCCGCGGUGAUACGUAGGGUGCGAGCGUUGUCCGGAUUUAUUGGGCGUAAAGGGCUCGUAGGUGGUUGAUCGCGUCGGAAAGUUAAUCUUGGGGCUUAACCCUGAGCGUGCUUUCGAUACGGGUUGACUUGAGGAAGGUAGGGGAGAAUGGAAUUCCUGGUGGAGCGGUGGAAUGCGCAGAUAUCAGGAGGAACACCAGUGGCGAAGGCGGUUCUCUGGGCCUUUCCUGACGCUGAGGAGCGAAAGCGUGGGGAGCGAACAGGCUUAGAUACCCUGGUAGUCCACGCUGUAAACGGUGGGUACUAGGUGUGGGGUCCAUUCCACGGGUUCCGUGCCGUAGCUAACGCUUUAAGUACCCCGCCUGGGGAGUACGGCCGCAAGGCUAAAACUCAAAGGAAUUGACGGGGGCCCCGCACAAGCGGCGGAGCAUGCGGAUUAAUUCGAUGCAACGCGUAGAACCUUACCUGGGUUUGACAUGGAUCGGGAGUGCUCAGAGAUGGGUGUGCCUCUUUUGGGGUCGGUUCACAGGUGGUGCAUGGCUGUCGUCAGCUCGUGUCGUGAGAUGUUGGGUUAAGUCCCGCAACGAGCGCAACCCUUGUUCACUGUUGCCAGCACGUUAUGGUGGGGACUCAGUGGAGACCACCGGGGUCAACUCGGAGGAAGGUGGGAUGACGUCAAGUCAUCAUGCCCCUUAUGUCCAGGGCUUCACGCAUGCUACAAUGGCUGGUACAGAGAGUGGCGAGCCUGUGAGGGUGAGCGAAUCUCGGAAAGCCGGUCUCAGUUCGGAUUGGGGUCUGCAACUCGACCUCAUGAAGUCGGAGUCGCUAGUAAUCGCAGAUCAGCAACGCUGCGGUGAAUACGUUCCCGGGGCU